rnacentral:rRNA from 1 species
AUACGGAGGGUGCAAGCGUUAAUCGGAAUUACUGGGCGUAAAGCGUACGUAGGCGGUUCGUUAAGUUAGAUGUGAAAGCCCCGGGCUUAACCUGGGAACUGCAUUUAAAACUGGCGAACUAGAGUUGAGUAGAGGGGAGUGGAAUUUCAGGUGUAGCGGUGAAAUGCGUAGAGAUCUGAAGGAACACCAGUGGCGAAGGCGACUCCCUGGACUCGAACUGACGCUGAGGUACGAAAGCGUGGGUAGCAAACGGGAUUAGAAACCCGAGUAGUCC